UACCGGCGGCUCGAGUGGUGGCCACUUUUAUUGGGUCUAAAGCGUCCGUAGCCGGCUUGGCAAGUCCCCUGGGAAAUCUGGCGGCUUAACCGUCAGGCGUCCAGAGGAUACUGCCAGGCUUGGGACCGGGAGAGGUGAGAGGUACCUCAGGGGUAGGGGUGAAAUCUUGUGAUCCCUGAGGGACCACCAGUGGCGAAGGCGUCUCACUAGAACGGGUCCGACGGUCAGGGACGAAAGCUGGGGGCACGAACCGG
rnacentral:rRNA from 1 species